UAUGAACGCUAGCUACAGGCUUAACACAUGCAAGUCGAGGGUCAGCAUGGUCUUAGCUUGCUAAGGCCGAUGGCGACCGGCGCACGGGUGAGUAACACGUAUCCAACCUGCCGUCUACUCUUGGACAGCCUUCUGAAAGGAAGAUUAAUACAAGAUGGCAUCAUGAGUCCGCAUGUUCACAUGAUUAAAGGUAUUCCGGUAGACGAUGGGGAUGCGUUCCAUUAGAUAGUAGGCGGGGUAACGGCCCACCUAGUCUUCGAUGGAUAGGGGUUCUGAGAGGAAGGUCCCCCACAUUGGAACUGAGACACGGUCCAAACUCCUACGGGAGGCAGCAGUGAGGAAUAUUGGUCAAUGGGCGAGAGCCUGAACCAGCCAAGUAGCGUGAAGGAUGACUGCCCUAUGGGUUGUAAACUUCUUUUAUAAAGGAAUAAAGUCGGGUAUGGAUACCCGUUUGCAUGUACUUUAUGAAUAAGGAUCGGCUAACUCCGUGCCUGCAGCCGCGGUAAUACGGAGGAUCCGAGCGUUAUCCGGAUUUAUUGGGUUUAAAGGGAGCGUAGAUGGAUGUUUAAGUCAGUUGUGAAAGUUUGCGGCUCAACCGUAAAAUUGCAGUUGAUACUGGAUAUCUUGAGUGCAGUUGAGGCAGGCGGAAUUCGUGGUGUAGCGGUGAAAUGCUUAGAUAUCACGAAGAACUCCGAUUGCGAAGGCAGCCUGCUAAGCUGCAACUGACAUUGAGGCUCGAAAGUGUGGGUAUCAAACAGGAUUAGAUACCCUGGUAGUCCACACGGUAAACGAUGAAUACUCGCUGUUUGCGAUAUACUGCAAGCGGCCAAGCGAAAGCGUUAAGUAUUCCACCUGGGGAGUACGCCGGCAACGGUGAAACUCAAAGGAAUUGACGGGGGCCCGCACAAGCGGAGGAACAUGUGGUUUAAUUCGAUGAUACGCGAGGAACCUUACCCGGGCUUAAAUUGCAGAUGAAUUACGGUGAAAGCCGUAAGCCGCAAGGCAUCUGUGAAGGUGCUGCAUGGUUGUCGUCAGCUCGUGCCGUGAGGUGUCGGCUUAAGUGCCAUAACGAGCGCAACCCUUGUUGUCAGUUACUAACAGGUUCCGCUGAGGACUCUGACAAGACUGCCAUCGUAAGAUGUGAGGAAGGUGGGGAUGACGUCAAAUCAGCACGGCCCUUACGUCCGGGGCUACACACGUGUUACAAUGGGGGGUACAGAGGGCCGCUACCACGCGAGUGGAUGCCAAUCCCCAAAACCUCUCUCAGUUCGGACUGGAGUCUGCAACCCGACUCCACGAAGCUGGAUUCGCUAGUAAUCGCGCAUCAGCCACGGCGCGGUGAAUACGUUCCCGGGCCUUGUACACACCGCCCGUCAAGCCAUGGGAGCCGGGGGUACCUGAAGUGCGUAACCGCGAGGAGCGCCCUAGGGUA
rnacentral:rRNA from 1 species